UAUAAAUAAUUAUGGUUUAAAAAUUUAUUUUUAAUUUAAUUUACAUAUAAAUUUUAGUAUUAAAUUUAAUUUAUUUUAAAAAUAUUUUAAUUUAUUUAUAAAGUAGUAAUUAAUAUUAAAUUAUUUAAGAAAUUAAGAUUUAGUAAUAUUAAAAUUAAUAACAAAUUUUGUGCCAGCAGUUGCGGUUAUACAAAAAUUAAAUUAAAUUUUUUUAGUUAUUAAUAAUUAAAUAAAUGAUUGUAUAUUUAAAUAAUAAAUUAUUAGGUGAAAUUUUAAUUUAUUAAAAUUAUAUAAAUUUUUAUGAUUUAAUAAAUUUAAUUAAAAACUAGGAUUAGAUACCCUAUUAUAAGAAUUUAAUUUAAAAUACUAAAAUAGUAGAUAAUAUUUUAUUGAAACUUAAAUAAAUUGGCGGUAUUUUAGUUCAUUUAGAGGAAUCUGUUUAUUAAUUGAUAAUCCACGAAUAAAUUUACUUAAUUUAAAAUUUUGUAUAUCGUUGUUGAAAAAAUAUUUUUUAAUAAAAAUAAUAUUUAAAUUUUUAUAUUAAAAGUUAAAUCAGAUCAAGAUGCAGAUUAUAAUUAAGAAUAUAAUGGAUUACAAUAAAUUUAUUUAAAUGGAAAUUAGUUUGAAAUAAUUAAUGGAAAGUGGAUUUAAAUGUAAUUUUAUUUAAUUUAAUAAGAUGAUUAAAAAUUAAGAUAUGUACAUAUUGCCCGUCGCUUUCAUAUAAUUUAUUUAAUAAGUGAAAUAAAUUGAAAUAAGUCGUAACAAAGUAGAGGUACUGGAAAGUGUUUCUAGAAAGACA
rnacentral:ncRNA from 1 species